UCCACAACGAGAACAUGAGGCAAGGCC
rnacentral:piRNA from 1 species